rnacentral:lncRNA from 1 species
UACUGUCCUGUGCAAUUCUUUGCUAUGAUAUAGUACAACCCUGCGCCUAGCUCGUGACUCCUGCACACACAUAUACAUGUCCUUUGCUUUAUUAAUCAUAUUAAUCUAAAAGAUGAGUGUCUCUCAUGUGUUGAAUGCAGCCCAUCUAGAACAGUAUUAGCAUAAUCAGUCAUCAUUAUAAUGUAAUGAUUACAUAUAUGUCCAAAGAAUGAGUGUUUAUGAUGUUUGAAAUGCAGCCCAUCUAGAAUAGUGUAAGCAGAAUCAGUCAUCAUUAUAAUAUAAUAUUUACAUGUGUCCACUUCACUGAAGAAGAAAUUCUCCAAAAUGCUAAAAGAGGAGAAGAAAAUAUCGCAUAAAACAGUAUUAGCCAUACCUGCAGUUUAUCGAAAAGUGAUUGGUCCUUGGGCAGUCAGAUACAUUUUUAAGCCAAAUAGCUAAUAUUCUCCACAUACAGCAGAAAUUACCAAGCUAUAUCAGAGACUGCAGAGGGAAAUUCUAUGGAUUCAUCCAACUUUUACGAAGUUUUUUGCUCUUUGUGAUACCGACAACUGAUACUACAGCUAGCGUGCUGGCAGUAUAUAACUUUAGUUCCCUCGCAGCCAUGUCUUUGGAAUCUUCAAAUGCAGCUUUCAGUAUCAAAGAAGUCAGUGGAAGUACACAUAUAAUGGUUGUGAAUGAGACUAAAGAAUAGUUUUUUUGAGAAAGAACUAAAGAAUAGUAGAAUGAAUGAGUCUCUCUUCUUUAAGUGACUGUAAAAGAGAGAGGUAGUCGACAUCCACGAGGACUAACCAAGAGCAGAUGCGCCUAGCUAAACAUAUAGAAGAAGCUAAAGAGCUGGAACAGCAAAAAAGAACAGAGUAGGAGAGCAGCUUUAAGUUGCUAGCUAGAAUCGAGAAUUGACUAAAAAGCAGGACAAUCAAGCAACGGUCAAAAGGAACCAUGCAAGGAUAAACUAAACUUGCCAAGCAAUUUGCUCAAAAAACUCAGCUCGGCAGCCAAGUUCAAGUAUAGCUCGUUAUUAACGAGUUAUAAACUAGAGCUUGCUUUUGAGCUUGAUGGUAAGCGAGCUUGAAUAAGCAAGACCCGCAUUGUAGACUUUUUAACAGCUAUUCUUUAUUUCUAGAUCUAAAAUAUAAAAAUGAGAGCUAGGGUUUCAGGUACCUGAUGUACUUGACAAGUGCAAUUACACAAGUUUUUAUUCUCUUCCCACACGGCUUCCUUCCCAAUCUAUAGCAGAAUCCUAAAGCCUUUCCAAUCAACAGCAUUAUCAUUCUUGUUAUCUUUCAUUUUAUCCCUCACGCUUCCCCUUCCAUUUGGAGUCAUCCAUCACAAAUCUUAUGCUGCUGCAGUGCUGCUUUGCCCUCCGCUCACAAUACUGCAUUCAGCUUUUAAAGCCCCUAGUUGACGGUGAUAACAAUAAUAUCAGCCACAAGGUUCCCUUAUUUUUGUACUCUAUCACAAUACUGCAUUCAGCUUUUAAAGCCCCUAGUUGACGGUGAU